UUAAAAUUCUUCCAAAAUUCAUAACUUGAGCUGGAGACCUCCAAAUCACUCCGUUCCAAAGCCAAACCUGUGAGAAAUUUCGAGAGGAAUCUAUUGGUACCAGUAUUUCUGAGUGGGGUUCACUGUAGAGAGAGAUCUUCUCCCCCAAAGAAUUCGAAUUUCAUGGAAAAUAUGGGUUUUGAUGGAGCUUGAAGCCAUGGGAGCUUGAAGCAAGCUUCUCCCUUCAUUCUAGGUGUACCUAGGGACUGUGAACGUUUGGAUUCUCGUGGAGUAUGAUAAGUAGCUUGUUCUUCAAGUAAGAAGAUUGUAAAGCUCAAAGAGGAAAACAGUUAAUUGAAGAGCCUCAUGGGACAAGGACACUAACCGUGGCUAGAGGUACUAGUAUGAGGAUGUGGAGUUCUGGGUGGUCGGAUGCUACUAUUUGUUUUAGACGUAUUUUUGGAAAAGAUGUAUUGUUGCAUAGUGUUCAUAUUUGAUACAUGUACAUUUAUGUAUU